GAUGAAGAACGUAGCGAAAUGCGAUACUUGGUGUGAGUUGCAGAAUCCCGUGAACCAUCGAGUCUUUGAACGCAAGUUGCGCCUCAAGCCAUUAGGUUGAGGGCACGUCUGCCUGGGCGUCACAUAUCGUUGCCUGAUGCCAGUUUCCUCGUGAUGGGUGACUGUGCAGGGCGAAUGAUGGCUUCCCGUGAGCAUUGUUGCCUCAUGGUUGGUUGAAAAUUGAGUCCUUGGUAGGGAGCGCCGUGAUAGAUGGUGGUUGAGUGACGAACGAGACCCAAUCAUGUGAGACCCCUACCGAAUUUGGCCUUCAUGACCCACAUGCGUCUUUGGAACGCUCAUGACGAGACCUCAGGUCAGGCGGGGCUACCCGCUGAGUUUAAGCAUAUCAAUAAGCGGAGGA
rnacentral:misc_RNA from 1 species